AUGCUUAUAGUUGAAGGUUUACAACGUUAAAUUGCAAAUUUAAAGGUAUGGUGAGACCAUUAAGUAUU
rnacentral:tRNA from 1 species